AUUGAACGCUGGCGGCAUGCCUUACACAUGCAAGUCGAACGGCAGCACGGGAGCAAUCCUGGUGGCGAGUGGCGAACGGGUGAGUAAUAUAUCGGAACGUGCCCAGUAGUGGGGGAUAACUGCUCGAAAGAGCAGCUAAUACCGCAUACGACCUGAGGGUGAAAGGGGGGGAUCGCAAGACCUCUCGCUAUUGGAGCGGCCGAUAUCAGAUUAGCUAGUUGGUGGGGUAAAGGCCUACCAAGGCAACGAUCUGUAGUUGGUCUGAGAGGACGACCAGCCACAAUGGGACUGGAACACGGCCCAGACUCCUACGGGAGGGAGCAGUGGGGAAUUUUGGACAAUGGGCGCAAGCCUGAUCCAGCAAUGCCGCGUGCAGGAAGAAGGCCUUCGGGUUGUAAACUGCUUUUGUCAGGGAAGAAAUCCUCUAGGUUAAUACCCUUGGGGGGAUGACGGUACCUGAAGAAUAAGCACCGGCUAACUACGUGCCAGCCGCCGCAGUAAAAC
rnacentral:rRNA from 1 species